GACGUAGGGCGCGAGCGUUGUCCGGAUUUAUUGGGCGUAAAGAGCUCGUAGGCGGCUUGUCGCGUCGACCGUGAAAACUUGGGGCUCAACCCCAAGCCUGCGGUCGAUACGGGCAGGCUAGAGUUCGGUAGGAGAGACUGGAAUUCCUGGUGUAGCGGUGAAAUGCGCAGAUAUCAGGAGGAACACCGAUGGCGAAGGCAGGUCUCUGGGCCGAUACUGACGCUGAGGAGCGAAAGCGUGGGGAGCGAACAGG
rnacentral:rRNA from 1 species